rfam:Ovis aries breed Texel chromosome 1, whole genome shotgun sequence.
UCCCUGGUGGUCUAGUAGCUAAGACUCCGUGUUCUCAAUGUAGGGGACUAGGUUCAAUCCCUGGUCAGGGAA